GGGUUGUGAGGUUAAGCGACUAAGCGUACACGGUGGAUGCCCUGGCAGUCAGAGGCGAUGAAGGACGUGCUAAUCUGCGAUAAGCGCCGGUAAGGUGAUAUGAACCGUUAUAACCGGCGAUUUCCGAAUGGGGAAACCCAGUGUGACUCGUCACACUAUCAUUAACUGAAUCCAUAGGUUAAUGAGGCGAACCGGGGGAACUGAAACAUCUAAGUACCCCGAGGAAAAGAAAUCAACCGAGAUUCCCCCAGUAGCGGCGAGCGAACGGGGAGGAGCCCAGAGCCUGAAUCAGCAUGUGUGUUAGUGGAAGCGUCUGGAAAGGCGCGCGAUACAGGGUGACAGCCCCGUACACAAAAGCGCAUGUGUUGUGAGCUCGAUGAGUAGGGCGGGACACGUGGUAUCCUGUCUGAAUAUGGGGGGACCAUCCUCCAAGGCUAAAUACUCCUGACUGACCGAUAGUGAACCAGUACCGUGAGGGAAAGGCGAAAAGAACCCCGGCGAGGGGAGUGAAAAAGAACCUGAAACCGUGUACGUACAAGCAGUGGGAGCCCCACCACUAAGCCAGUGGUGAACUCCACAUACGCAUCCUUUGCUGAAGGUGCGGUUAACGGAGCGCAAGCGACGUUCAACCUCAAAAGAAGCAGAGGGGGCUUAGUGGUGGGGUGACUGCGUACCUUUUGUAUAAUGGGUCAGCGACUUAUAUUCUGUAGCAAGGUUAACCGCAUAGGGGAGCCGGAGGGAAACCGAGUCUUAAUUGGGCGUUAAGUUGCAGGGUAUAGACCCG
rnacentral:rRNA from 1 species